CACGGGGGGAGCAAGCGUUGUUCGGAUUCAUUGGGCGUAAAGGGCUCGUAGGUGGCUUUGUAAGUCGGAGGUGAAAUCCCACGGCUCAACCGUGGACACGCCUUCGAAACUGUGAAGCUUGAGGCUGGGAGAGGAAAUCGGAAUUCCUGGUGUAGCGGUGAAAUGCGUAGAUAUCAGGAGGAACACCAGUGGCGAAGGCGGCUUUCUGGACGGUAACUGACGCUGAGACGCGAAAGCGUGGGGAGCAAACAGG
rnacentral:rRNA from 1 species